GCCCGUGCUGGGCCACGACAAAGGCACGCAGCUUUGUCUUUUUCCUGCUCCAUUUCACCAGCUGGGAAAGCCAUGUCCUUGUGCCAUUCUAGAUGUACCAAAACCAGAACAAUGAGACCAGAGUAUAUUUUGUACAAGAAAGAAAUACAGUUCAGGACUAGAAACCACAGAGCUUCUGAAAUCUGCACAGCUGGAUGGGACUGGGAUUUCAGCUGCAGGGGGUUUUCCUAGAAUGGCUAAAUCAUUACAGCACAAAUCCCUUUAUAUAGCAGGGAAGUAAGAGAGAGAAAAACAAGAGAGCUAUGAAGCAGAGGCGCCUUGUAGAGGAGGAUACAACAGCGUUCAAGCUGUCAUCUCCACCCAGUGCACCCCCCAGCCAGCUCACUGCCACUCCCUGAGCAUCUCUUGGCUCCUGGGGCACAGAGCAUGGCACAGGGAGAGAGAAAACCCUCCAUGCCUUCACAGCCCUCGUCAACUUUCCACCCUCAACAACUCGAGCCCUCACAGCAGCAGCACCUUCACCUCAGAGAGCAAGAAAUCCCAGCCACACAUAACUAAUUGCCACAACAACAGAGGACUGUAUGACACAGCUGCAAGGAAGGUGGAAGAAGAACAGGCACACGGAGCCAUCAACAAAGAAACUCGAGUGUGGCUUAGCACAGGGCCACAAGAACAAGGCAGCACCAAGCACCCAGUCAGUACUCUGCAGGCAGCAUUCUGAGAUGGGAAUGUCACACAUGGACUGCACUUACCUUACCUAGGCAACUUGUAGGCCUUGAUGAGUGGCAGAGGUGCCUGAAGACUGGAGGAAAGCCAGUGUCACUUCAAUCUUCAGAAAGGGCAAGGAGGAGGAUCUGGGCAACUACAGGGCAGUCACGCUUACCUCCAUCCCUGGAAAGGAGGUGAAGCAACUUGUUCUGAAUGUCAUCUCCAAGCAAUUGGAAAAGAAAGUUAUCAGGAGUAGUCAGCAUGGAUUUCAGGCUGCCCAGAGAGGCUGUGGGGUCUCCUUCUCUGGAGACAUUCAAAACUUUCCUGGACUCAUUGCUGUGUGACCUAACCUAGAUGUUCCUGCUCUGGCAGGAUGAUUGGACUAGAUGGUCUUUCAAGGUCCCUUCCAAUCACAUAUUCCGUGAUUCUGUGAUUCACCAAGGGGAAAUCAUGCUUGACCGACCUGGCAGUCUUCUAUGCUGUCAUCACCGACUGAGUAGAUGGGGGGAGAGCAGUGGAUGUCAUACACCUUGACUUCAACAAAGCUUUUGACACUGUUUUCCAUAACUUCCUCAUAGGUAAGCUUAGAAGUGUGGGAAAGAUGAGUGAGGUAAACUGGGAACGGAGGUGGAUAGAGCUCAGAGUGUUCUCAUCAGUGGUGAAGAGGUCUAUAGAGUUGGAGGUCUACAGCGAGUGGUGCUCCUCAGGGGUUGGUACUGCAUCCAGUCUUGUUCAGCAUCUUCAUUAAUGCUGCAGUUUGGUGAUUUUUGGUGUCAGUAUUCCACAUCAGGACAUCACAUGAACCAGUGGAAGUUAAAGAGUUAACGUUCUGGUUCCGCUUACUGCCUCUUAUUGGCAUUUUGGGUGUUCUGAUGGGAGGGGAGGGGCAGCAUCCCUGGAGGACUUGGUGUGGAGAGGCAGUGUGGCAGAGCUCCGGGACCGCGGCCGUCUCUCCCUCCGUUGGGCUGGCUCAGCUUGCUGUGGAGAAGGGCACGUGCUUCCCUCUCACUUCGGGUACUCUUCUCUCUCAUUUGGCUUGAUUUCAUUGGAUUUAGUGAGUUACUGUGCCCCCCUUGUCACGGACUCAGAUAACUCCGUGACAGUUAGUGAUCUGGAUGAAGGGACAGUGUCCACUCUCAGCAAGUUUGCUGAUGAUACAAAGCUGGGAGGAGUGACUGACACACCAGAAGGCUGUGCUGCCCUUUGGUGAGAGCUGCACGGAGCAGAGUCGGGCAGAGAGGAACAUUAGGAGGUUCAACAAGGGCAAGUGUAGGAUUCUGCACCUGGGGAGGAAUACCUGCAUGCAUCAGCACACAUUAGGGGCUGGGCUGCUGAAAAAGAUCUUUGUGGAGAAGGACCUGGAUAUCCUCGUGGCCAACAAGUUGCCCAUGAGUCAGCAGUGUGCCUUCGUGGCCAAGAAGGCUAAAGGCAUCCAGGAGUACAUUACAAGAGGAGAGCCAGCAGGUCCAGGGAGGUUCUCCCCCCACCCUGCUCUGCCCUGGGGAGGCCUCAUCUGAAAUACUGUGUCCAGUUCUGGGCUUCUCAGUUCAAAAAAGACAGGGAUCAUCUCCUGUAUGAAGAAAGGCCGAGCGUCUUUAGACUGUUCAGCCUGCAGAAGACAAGGCUGAGAGGGAUCUAGUCACUGUUUAUAAAUAUCUAAAGCAUAGGUAUCGAGUGGAUGGGAGCGGACUCCCUUCAGUCCUGUGCUUGCCACACAGCCCUCAGACAUUUGGUUUGGUAGGAGGGGAUUGCAGAAGCAACAUCCCUCCCACUGUAAGCAAAGAUCAGAUUUGUGACCAUCUGAGAAACCCCAACAUCCACAAGUCUAUGAGUCCUGCUGAGACACAUCCCAGAGUCCUGAGGGAACUGGCUGAUGUAGUUGCCAAGCCACUCACAAUGAUGUCUGAAAAGUUGUGGCAAUGGGGUGAAGUCCAUGGUUACAGGAAAAAAGGUAACAUCACACCCGUUUCUAAGGGUAAAAAGAAUGACCUUGGGAACUACCAACCAAGACCAAGUCUCAUCUCUGUGCUGGGGAAGAUCCUGGAGCAGAUUCUCCUGGAAGCUAUGCUAAGGCACAUGGAAGACAUGAAGGUGAUACAGGAGAACCAGUGUGGCCUCACCAAGGACAAAUCCUGCUUGACCAGCCUGGUGGCCUUCUAUGAUGGCAUCACUGCAUCAACAGAAAAGGGAAGAGCCACUGAUACAAUCUAUUUUGACUUCAGUGAGGCCUUUGACACGGUACCCUGCAUCUUCCUCCCCAGACUGGAAAGAUAUGGAUCUGAUAGGUGGAUUGUUCAGUGGACAAAGAACUAGCUACAGGAUCGAGUCUGGAGAGCAGUGUUCAAUAACUCAGUGUCUGAAUGGAGAUUUGUGAUGAGUGGUGUCCCCCAGCAGUCAGUGUUGAGGCCAAUACUCUUUAAUAUCUGCAUCAAUGACACUGACAGUGGGAUUGAGUGCACUCUCAGCAAGUGUGCUGAUGACACCAAGCUGUGGGGUGUGGUCGACACACCACAGGGAUGGGUACCAUUCAGAGGGACCUGGGCAGACUUGAGCAGUGGCCCAGGUGAACCUCAUUGAGGUUCCUCAUUCCUCUUGACUGUGUAGAGGAAAUGGACCUGGGGGUGUUCAUUGACGCUAGACUGAACAUGAGCCAGCAGUGUGCCCAGGUGGCCAAG
ensembl:lncRNA